CGCGGUAAUACGUAGGGUGCAAGCGUUAAUCGGAAUUACUGGGCGUAAAGCGUGCGCAGGCGGUUUUGUAAGUCUGUCGUGAAAGCCCCGGGCUCAACCUGGGAAUUGCGAUGGAGACUGCAAGGCUUGAAUCUGGCAGAGGGGGGUAGAAUUCCACGUGUAGCAGUGAAAUGCGUAGAGAUGUGGAGGAACACCGAUGGCGAAGGCAGCCCCCUGGGUCAAGAUUGACGCUCAUGCACGAAAGCGUGGGGAGCAAACAGGAUUAGAUACCCUGGUAGUCCACGCCCUAAACGAUGUCUACUAGUUGUCGGGUUUUAAUUAACUUGGUAACGCAGCUAACGCGUGAAGUAGACCGCCUGGGGAGUACGGUCGCAAGAUUAAAACUCAAAGGAAUUGACGGGGACCCGCACAAGCGGUGGAUGAUGUGGAUUAAUUCGAUGCAACGCGAAAAACCUUACCUACCCUUGACAUGUCAGGAACCUCCGAGAGAUCGGGGGGUGCCCGAAAGGGAACCUGAACACAGGUGCUGCAUGGCUGUCGUCAGCUCGUGUCGUGAGAUGUUGGGUUAAGUCCCGCAACGAGCGCAACCCUUGUCAUUAGUUGCUACAUUCAGUUGAGCACUCUAAUGAGACUGCCGGUGACAAACCGGAGGAAGGUGGGGAUGACGUCAAGUCCUCAUGGCCCUUAUGGGUAGGGCUUCACACGUCAUACAAUGGUACAUACAGAGGGCCGCCAACCCGCGAGGGGGAGCUAAUCCCAGAAAGUGUAUCGUAGUCCGGAUCGUAGUCUGCAACUCGACUACGUGAAGUUGGAAUCGCUAGUAAUCGCGGAUCAGCAUGUCGCGGUGAAUACGUUCCCGGGUCUUGUACACACCGCCCGUCACACCAUGGGAGCGGGUUUUACCAGAAGU
rnacentral:rRNA from 1 species